rnacentral:rRNA from 1 species
GCGACUUAUAUUCUGUAGCAAGGUUAACCGAAUAGGGGAGCCGAAGGGAAACCGAGUCUUAACUGGGCGUUAAGUUGCAGGGUAUAGACCCGAAACCCGGUGAUCUAGCCAUGGGCAGGUUGAAGGUUGGGUAACACUAACUGGAGGACCGAACCGACUAAUGUUGAAAAAUUAGCGGAUGACUUGUGGCUGGGGGUGAAAGGCCAAUCAAACCGGGAGAUAGCUGGUUCUCCCCGAAAGCUAUUUAGGUAGCGCCUCGUGAAUUCAUCUCCGGGGGUAGAGCACUGUUUCGGCAAGGGGGUCAUCCCGACUUACCAACCCGAUGCAAACUGCGAAUACCGGAGAAUGUUAUCACGGGAGACACACGGCGGGUGCUAACGUCCGUCGUGAAGAGGGAAACAACCCAGACCGCCAGCUAAGGUCCCAAAGUCAUGGUUAAGUGGGAAACGAUGUGGGAAGGCCCAGACAGCCAGGAUGUUGGCUUAGAAGCAGCCAUCAUUUAAAGAAAGCGUAAUAGCUCACUGGUCGAGUCGGCCUGCGCGGAAGAUGUAACGGGGCUAAACCAUG